rnacentral:lncRNA from 1 species
GUGAGAUAGGAAUGUGGACACUGAGAUCACAUAACUAGUAGCAAGGAAGCCAGAACUUAACCAUGGAUCUUUCCAAUUCAAACUUUGCAUCCUAAUUAAAUAAGGCAUCCUCUCAAAUUGACAAUUGCCAAAUGUUCUGGAUGAGGAUUUAACUCCCUCUGUGGAUAAUCAGGCAUUCACCAUGUGGCCUGAACAGAACCCAGAAUUGCAUAAUAGAAGUUCACAAGGCUUUAGACAUCAACUCCUUCAACUCUCUAAUUUUUCAUAUGAAGAAACUGAGGCCCGGAGAGGUGAAGGGACUUACUGAAGAUUGUAAAAGUAGUUGAUGGUAGGACUAAUGUCCAGGGCUCAACUUCAAGGCAAAUUAUCUCUCUGCUACAUUCAAGACAAUUUAAUUUGAAGUUAGCCAACACAAUUUAAGAGAUUGUUGACUCCCUCAGUGAAUUAUAUAUAUUAUGCCCCCAAAAUAUUGUCAAAAUGAGGAAAGAGUCUUAGUUCUUAGUAAUAUUGUCAAUUGAGUACUUAACAUAUUAUCACUAGAAAUGUAGGAGUGAUUCAGAUUCAGAUUGCCAGUACAGUUUGAGACACCCUGCUUUUCGUACUUAAUCACCAUGAAAAUAUAAUAAUUAUAC